AAGCACUAUUCCUCCUGUCUAUACUUCACCUUUGUUCCAGAGUUUUGCAUAAGUUUUCAAAAUAAAACUCAGAGUUCCCAGCAAUGAUUCUCUCAAGUCUCUCUAUAUGUGGUAUUUGUGGAUCCUUACCAAAAAUGUCACUUACCUAUAGCUAAUGGAAUAUUUAAGUGGAGCUCAUAGGAGUGAAAAACAGCUCAUACAUAUGUUGUCUAAUCGAGCUAUGGAUCCGAAGGAACUCAGCAUAUAAUUAAAUCAAGAUGUGCAUGUGUGGUGGAGUAAAUGAUAGUGAUGGUAAAAAUGUAUGAGUGAUAAUAAAACUUACUUCCCAUUGCUCCUCAUAUUGCUAUCUCUCCUCUUCUUUGAUCUUUGCUUUUGGAGAGCAUGGGCUAUCUUUUUCUCUUUUCUCUUUUUUCAGGUGGGUAGUAGAUACCCCUAAUUCUACUGUCGGACACUUGUCCAUUUUUUUCUGCUCAAGUGGGUAUCUUUGUACCCCUAAUUCUACUCUGGACACUUGUCUAUUUUUACCUCUCGUCUCACUCUUUUUUUUCUUUUCGAGGUUCCGGGCACUUGCCCCUUUUUAUUUCCUCAUAUAUUUUUGCACAACCCAUGCCUCUUCUGCAUUGAAUCUUUUUAGAGAGAGAAUAAUAAUACUUGGGACAGUGAAUGAUAAUAAUACUUUUAGCAAUUUUAAUGAAUGGUGGUUGAUGGUGUAGUGGAUGUGUGCAAGUGAAUAUCUUAACUCAACCACAUGAAAAGCUCCUAAGGGUCUACACAGCUCUAUCAAACUCAAUGUAAAUAUAAGUAGGAAAAGAUGUUAUAGCAAGUAUGGUUGUGGUAGGAAUUUUGUCAUGCUAGGAACUCAUCAUGUGAUUUGUAAGUUUUCAAAAUAAAUCUCUAGAACUUAGUGUAGUAGGAACAAGAUAAACAGUAGCUCAAACUUUAUAUCAUGCCUUUCUCUUACCUAGACUUUAGUUUUAUGUUUCCCAUAAAUAAUAAAUUUCAGUUUUAGUAAUUCUUGGAAGAACUGUAAUAUAAAAGCUAGAUACUUGAAAGUAAGCAAACAGAGCAACUGUUCAUCAUUUCCAUCAUGCAUCUUUUUGGUCUUUUUAUUUUUUUAGAGAUUAAACUUAGCAGAAAAAAUAAAGCACACUUAUCUACACACUCUUUUUAUUUUGUUUUUCAUGUUUAUAGAAUGCAGUAAUUUAAAGCAAGAAAAUAUUUAUUGGGUUUUCUAAGUUUUUUCUCUUUAAGAUAAAUAAAACACUAAAAUAGAAAAGAAUGAAUAAGAAAAGCAAAUAAAAACUUACUUGAUAAAAUGGGGAGGAAUUCCCCCAAGCUGGAUGUGGUUGUCGGUCUUACCCAAUGUUCCAGAAUCGCAUCAUGGUGGUGAUGUUGUCGUUCAUUGUCGUGGUGUCUUGUCUUAGUUCUUGUAUUGCAGUGGCGUGGUACUGGUUCCAUUGCUGUUCUAGGAGUCGUCCAUGUUCCGCUUGCGUAUUCUGGAUGUCGAGGAGGGUGUUGUCGGUACGGGUGAAGAAAGCGCCGGCCUCUUGGUAGUAGUCGUUCGUGAAAGCAUAAAAGGCAUCGGAGUACCGUCUGUAACACCCCAGUGUUAUGGUUGCAUUGAUCAUGUGCAUAGCAUAGGCAUUAUCAUCUACUCAAAGCAUAUCAUGAUCAUCAUCUAUCUUGAGCCAUGUCAUUCUAUGCAAAAUGUGAUUUAAAUUGCUUAAAUAGGCUU
rnacentral:lncRNA from 1 species